UACGGGGGGGGCGAGCGUUAAUCGGAAUUACUGGGCGUAAAGCGUGCGCAGGCGGUUCGUUGUGUCGGUGGUGAAAUCCCCGGGCUUAACCUGGGAAUGGCGAUGGAGACUGCGAGGCUAGAGUUUGGCAGAGGGGGGUAGAAUUCCACGUGUAGCAGUGAAAUGCGUAGAGAUGUGGAGGAACACCGAUGGCGAAGGCAGCCCCCUGGGUCAAAACUGACGCUCAUGCACGAAAGCGUGGGGAGCAAACAGG
rnacentral:rRNA from 1 species